GACGAACGCUGGCGGCGUGCUUAACACAUGCAAGUCGAACGGAAAGGCCCUGCUUUUGUGGGGUGCUCGAGUGGCGAACAGGUGAGUAACACGUGAGUAACCUGCCCUUGACUUUGGGAUAACUUCAGGAAACUGGGGCUAAUACCGGAUAGGAGCUCCUGCUGCAUGGUGGGGGUUGGAAAGUUUCGGCGGUUGGGGAUGGACUCGCGGCUUAUCAGCUUGUUGGUGGGGUAGUGGCUUACCAAGGCUUUGACGGGUAGCCGGCCUGAGAGGGUGACCGGCCACAUUGGGACUGAGAUACGGCCCAGACUCCUACGGGAGGCAGCAGUGGGGAAUAUUGCACAAUGGGCGGAAGCCUGAUGCAGCAACGCCGCGUGUGGGAUGACGGCCUUCGGGUUGUAAACCGCUUUCGCCUGUGACGAAGCGUGAGUGACGGUAAUGGGUAAAGAAGCACCGGCUAACUACGUG
rnacentral:rRNA from 1 species